UGCAGAGGGGGCAAGCGUUGUUCGGAAUUACUGGGCGUAAAGGGCGCGUAGGCGGCCUGCUAAGUCGAACGUGAAAUCCCCAGGCUCAACCUGGGAACUGCGUCCGAUACUGACAGGCUUGAAUCCGGGAGAGGGAUGUGGAAUUCCAGGUGUAGCGGUGAAAUGCGUAGAUAUCUGGAGGAACACCGGUGGCGAAGGCGGUUCUCUGGGCCUUACCUGACGCUGAGGAGCGAAAGCGUGGGGAGCGAACAGG
rnacentral:rRNA from 1 species